rnacentral:rRNA from 1 species
UACGAGGGGUGCAAGCGUUGCUCGGAAUUAUUGGGCGUAAAGGGUAGGUAGGUGGUCUCAUUUGUCUGGGGUGAAAUCCUUGAGCUUAACUCAAGAACUGCCCCAGAAACGGUGAGACUCGAGUACUGGAGAGGGUCGUGGAAUUCCCGGUGUAGCGGUGAAAUGCGUAGAGAUCGGGAGGAACACCAGAGGCGAAGGCGGCGACCUGGACAGUUACUGACACUCAACUACGAAAGCGUGGGGAGCAAACAGGG